rnacentral:tRNA from 1 species
GCCUGGCUGGCUCAAUGAGUAGAGUGUGAGACUCUUGAUCUCAGGGUUGUGAGUUCAAGUCCCAUGCCGGGUG